rnacentral:rRNA from 1 species
CGCCCGUCGCUCCUACCGAUUGGGUGUGCUGGUGAAGUGUUCGGAUUGGUGACUGGGGGCGGUUCCCGCUCUCUGCCGCCGAGAAGUUCAUUGAACCCUCCCACCUAGAGGAAGGAGAAGUCGUAACAAGGUUUCC